rnacentral:rRNA from 1 species
UCGGAUUGUAGGCUGCAACUCGCCUACAUGAAGUCGGAAUUGCUAGUAAUCGCGGAUCAGCAUGCCGCGGUGAAUACGUUCCCGGGCCUUGUACACACCGCCCGUCACACCAUGGAAGUUGGGGGUGCCCAAAGCCGGCAGGGAAAUAUGCUGUCUAAGGCAAAACCAAUGACCGGGGUGAAGUCGUAACAAGGUACC